CCCUUACCUGGAUCGGCGGUUAGUAUUUAACUCAUAGAUUGUAUUUAGUUAGUUUUUAAUACUAACUGCGGAUUCAAGUGAGGG
rnacentral:miRNA from 1 species